CCCUUAACCGUAAGGAGGGGGAUGCCUUCGGCUUGGCUUGCGAAUGGAGUGAAGCGUAACAAGGUAGCCGUACUGGAAGGUGCGGCUGGAUCACCUCCUU
rnacentral:rRNA from 1 species